rnacentral:rRNA from 1 species
CCUACGGGGGGCAGCAGUGGGGAAUAUUGGACAAUGGGGGCAACCCUGAUCCAGCCAUGCCGCGUGUGUGAAGAAGGCCCUCGGGUUGUAAAGCACUUUCAGUGAGGAAGAACGCCUGGUGGUUAAUACCCAUCAGGAAAGACAUCACUCACAGAAGAAGCACCGGCUAACUCCGUGCCAGCAGCCGCGGUAAUACGGAGGGUGCGAGCGUUAAUCGGAAUUACUGGGCGUAAAGCGCGCGUAGGUGGCUUGAUAAGCCGGUUGUGAAAGCCCCGGGCUCAACCUGGGAACGGCAUCCGGAACUGGCAGGCUAGAGUGCAGGAGAGGAAGGUAGAAUUCCCGGUGUAGCGGUGAAAUGCGUAGAGAUCGGGAGGAAUACCAGUGGCGAAGGCGGCCUUCUGGACUGACACUGACACUGAGGUGCGAAAGCGUGGGUAGCAAACAGGAUUAGAUACCCUUGUAGUC